rnacentral:rRNA from 1 species
UACGAAGGGGGCUAGCGUUGUUCGGAUUUACUGGGCGUAAAGCGCACGUAGGCGGACUAUUAAGUCAGGGGUGAAAUCCCGGGGCUCAACCCCGGAACUGCCUUUGAUACUGGUAGUCUUGAGUUCGAGAGAGGUGAGUGGAAUUCCGAGUGUAGAGGUUAAAUUCGUAGAUAUUCGGAGGAACACCAGUGGCGAAGGCGGCUCACUGGCUCGAUACUGACGCUGAGGUGCGAAAGCGUGGGGAGCAAACAGG